UCCCUGGUGGCUCAGAUGAUAAAACGUCUGCCUACAAUGCAGGAGACCCAGGUUCAAUCCCUGGGUUGGGAA
rnacentral:tRNA from 1 species